GCCGGUGUGGCGAAAUGGCAGACGCGACGGACUCAAAAUCCGUUUCCCCCUAAAGGAGUGUCGGUUCGAGUCCGACCACCGGUACCA
rnacentral:tRNA from 7 species